UACAGAGGGUGCGAGCGUUGUCCGGAAUCACUGGGCGUAAAGGGCGCGUAGGCGGCGCGACAAGUCAAUGGUGAAAGCCCGAGGCUCAACUUCGGGUCGGCCACUGAUACUGUUGGGCUUGAGCACUGUAGAGGCAGGUGGAAUUCCGGGUGUAGCGGUGGAAUGCGUAGAGAUCCGGAAGAACACCGGUGGCGAAGGCGGCCUGCUGGGCAGUAGCUGACGCUGAGGCGCGACAGCGUGGGGAGCAAACAGG
rnacentral:rRNA from 1 species